CUGCAGCAUCUGAGUGGAUUGUUGUGAGUGUUGGUCCACAGACUGCAUCAACGCCAUGACUCGCCUGCUGCUAGGAGUCGCCCUGCUGGGGAAGCUGGCCCUCUGCGCCACAGCUCAAGAGAUGCUGGCUCCACCUGGCCAGGUGAGGUUUGAGUCUACAGACUACAAAAACAUCCUGCACUGGGCCGCGCCCUCCAACAGCUCCUCUCUGCAUUAUCACGUCCAGUAUAAGAUUUACGGCGAGGUCGACUGGCUGAAUGUUAGCAGCUGCCAGGGGAUCCAGAGGCACCACUGUGACCUCAGCAGCGUCACCUCCGACACCACAGAGUGGUACUAUGCCCGGGUGCGAGCUUCGUCUGCGGCCUCCAGCAGCAAAUCCGCCUGGGCUUUGUCCCACAGAUUCAACUCCCGCUGGAGCAGUAGAAUCAGCCCUCCUACAGUGAAGCUGAACUCCUCCAAACAACGCGUCGUGGUCCAGGUGAAGGCCCCCCGAGUGCUGGUCCGCAAGAUGCACAACAACGUGGACUACAACGUCUACGUCACGCACGGCAACGGAAAGGAGGAGGUGUACGAGAUCGCCUGCUGCUCCCACAAGCUGACUCUGACAGAGCUGAAGCCCAAGACACACUACUGCUUCCAGGCACAGACCGUCAUCCCCAGACACAUGAAGAGCAGCGACCGCAGCUCCGCAAAGUGCAUCACCACGGCCUGACGGCGCAGGUACGAGCCCAGAGCGCCGCGUCCACACCUGUACUCCGCGGUGCAGACGCUGGUUGACCGGGGCGGUGUCGUCACCCACGGCUUUGAUCUUCAUCCCUACCUCCACAGGUGUCUGAGCUCCUAAAAGCGACGCCUCCUCCUCCUCCUCCUCCUCCUCCGAGGAGCGCGUUGUUUAAAGUCUGUUGCUCAAACUGAACCUUAAGUCUGAAACGAUUUGAUAACACGGCGGGUUUCUUUCAGCCAGUUCUUCUCAGACGAAAUGAGUUUCUCUGUGACGGUGUGGUCAUGCCACCUAUGUUUUGCUUUUAUAAAAACUAAAACAGUAAGAUUUAUCUUCUAAAAUAUUUAUACACACGUUUGUUAGACUUCGUUUAGAGGAAGCACAUUUGCGUAGCUCAGCACAUCUCACCCAGCCGCCGCUGAAGGCUUAAUGAAUGUUUCUAACUUUUUGAACAACCUGUGAGACAAUAAAAUCCCUCCAGAGCUUCAGCUUGAACAAAAAUAAAUAUAAAUAACACAUGGUGAUGGUUUGUGCUGCAUGUGUGACUUUGCUAAUAAAAGGAUGAAUUUCC